GAGUGAAUCAUGUAAAGCUGUAUAUAUUCAUGACAAUAUUUUUAACAAAAUGAUUACAGUUGGUUUCUUUGUGGUUAAUAUCACUUCGACUAUGCGAUUAUUUGAACCUGUGUAUUUUGUUUGGUUCUUUGUUUUUGUGUAUGUUUUGUUUUGCAUUUGCAACUGCACUUUAUGACUGACCACUUUUUAUUUGUUUUAUGGGUUUCAUGUAUGCAUAGCUGUCCUGCAAUAAGGGAAAGUUUGUUUUUCUAUCCGUACAAUAUGUAUUUUUAUUGGAGUACACAUAACAAUGACGCAUUGGAAUUAAUUGUUUCGAUCUCAUUCACAUACCUUUGGUGAAAUAUUUGCCACUGACAAAUGGCAUAUACCAUACCAGAAGCAUAAUUUACUCUCUUUUAAU
rnacentral:lncRNA from 1 species